rnacentral:rRNA from 1 species
GACGAACGCUGGCGGCGUGCUUAACACAUGCAAGUCGAACGGACAGGCCCUGCUUUUGUGGGGUGCUCGAGUGGCGAACGGGUGAGUAACACGCGAGUAACCUGUCCUUGACUUUGUGAUAACUUCAGGAAACUGGGGCUCAUACAGGAUAGGAGCUCCUGCUGCAUGGUGGGGGUUGGAAAGUUUCGGCGGUUGGGGAUGGACUAGAGGCUUAUCCGCUUGUUAGUGGGGUUGUGGCUUACCAAGGCUUUGACGGAUAGCCGGCCUGAGAGGGUUACCGGCCACAUGGCGACUGAGAUACGGCCCAGACUCCUACGGGAGGCAGCAGUGGGGAAUAUUACGCAAUGGGCGGAAGCCAGAUGCAGCAACGCCGCGUGCGGGAUGACGGCCUUCGGGUUGUAAACCUCUUUCGCCUGUAACGAAGCGUGAGUGACGGUAAUUGGUAAAAAAGCACCGGCUAACUACGUG